AGAGUUUGAUCCUGGCUCAGGAUGAACGCUGGCGGCGUGCUUAACACAUGCAAGUCGAACGAAGCAUUUAUCAUGAAGUCUUCGGAUGGAAUGAUAAUUGACUGAGUGGCGGACGGGUGAGUAACGCGUGGGUAACCUGCCUUAUACAGGGGGAUAACAGCUGGAAACGGCUGCUAAUACCGCAUAAGCGCACAGCUUUG
rnacentral:rRNA from 1 species